GACGAACGCUGGCGGCGUGCUUAACACAUGCAAGUCGAACGGAAAGGCCCUGCUUGCAGGGUACUCGAGUGGCGAACGGGUGAGUAACACGUGGGUGAUCUGCCCUGCACUUCGGGAUAAGCCUGGGAAACUGGGUCUAAUACCGGAUAGGAGCCAUUUUUAGUGUGAUGGUUGGAAAGUUUUUUCGGUGUAGGAUGAGCUCGCGGCCUAUCGGCUUGUUGGUGGGGUAAUGGCCUACCAAGGCGGCGACGGGUAGCCGGCCUGAGAGGGUGGACGGCCACAUUGGGACUGAGAUACGGCCCAGACUCCUACGGGAGGCAGCAGUGGGGAAUAUUGCACAAGGGGCGCAAGCCGGAUGCAGCGACGCCGCGUGGGGGAUGACGGCCUUCGGGUUGUAAACUCCUUUCGCUAGGGACGAAGCUUUUUGUGACGGUACCUAGAUAAGAAGCACCGGCUAACUACGUG
rnacentral:rRNA from 1 species